UCCACUCAACAGUAGCAAGAUAGAGGAAAGUCUGUGUUAAUGGUUGUCAUUUUCAGUUGGCUUUGUGCUUCUGCUCUGGAUGUUUUUAGUUUGUGUCCCAUUGUAUCUUAAUAGUCAAUAAAAUCUUUCCUAAUAUCAGAGCUUUAAAGCUAUAAAUUGGGGGCCCAAGUCCUUCUGAUUGAGGCCCAGCCAGUGGAUGCUGUGAGGCCGGUGGCGGGGCGAACGGCCCAGGUCUUCCCGGAGUCGGGUUGCUUAGGAAUGCAGCCCAAAGCAGGUGGUAAACUCCAUCUAAGGCUAAAUACCAGCACGAGACCAAUAGUCAACAAGUACCAUAAGGGAAAGUUGAAAAGAACUUUGAAGAGAGAGUUCAAGCAUGUACUCUAUAGAAUACUACAGAGCAAUAAAAAAAAAAUGAAAUUCAGUUAUUUGCAACAAAAUGGAGGAAUCUGGAAAACAUCAUGCUGAGUGAAUUAAGCCAGUCCCAAAGGGACAAAUAUCAUAUGUUCUCCCUGAUCAGUGACAACUAACCGAGCACCAAAAAGAAAACCUGUUGAAGUGAAAUGGACACUAUGAGAAACAGUGACUUGAUCAGCCCUUGUCCCGACUGUUGAUGUACAAUUUAAUACUUUAUCCCUUUUAGUAUUUUUUUUGUUCUACUUAAUAC
rnacentral:ncRNA from 1 species